GACCCAGACUGGGGUCCCAAGGCAUCAUAGCCCACAGCUUCUUAGCAAGUGCAUGUUCAGUUGGAUCCCCCAGCUCAGCCUGGGUCAUCCCCACGUUCUGCCUCUUGGGCCAUACAUAGCUCAGCUCUGUACUGAGCCAUCAUCCCAUGGUGAGCAAGACCCCAUUCUUGGUCUUCAGUCUCUUUCCCUGCAGCAUGCAAUCAAGGUGGUGGCUGGAAGGGGCCAAGGAGCCACAUGUCACAGUGCCCUGCUGCCUGAACAAGGACCAGAGGCCUGUGGAACACAUGGCUCUCAGAUUUCUCCCAUUUGAUGACUCAUCAGCUGCCCCCACAUGGCUUUCUAGCUCACAGCAGAUCUAGCCUUCUCUGAGCAGUGAAGAUGGGAUGUUUUAUGGUCAUUUUCCCUGGUGUGGAGAGCCCAAGUGGAGUUCUUCAGCACACCCUACACCAUCCCCUCACUAACACCCCCACCUGUCCAGUCUUACCUGCCUUCAUAUCAAAAGCACUCAGUUAACCCAGAGGGCUUCAGCCCUGCCCUGCCUGACUUUCUAGGAAACCCCUCUCUCCACCCACCCUAAUCAGACACUGUCUGAAGGUUCCCCCUCAUCAUUUUAAAAGGAAGAGAAAUUUUUCUGACACAGAGGUUCUGGUGAAGUGGCCAGCUCCCACAUCACAGGGUGAUGGUGGUUUGGACUGGACCAGGAUCAGACAGUGCUGUCCUGGGGCUGGCCAUCUGAUAAGGGGCUCCAGAAAGGGCAGUGAUGGACCCCUGGGAGGCUUUCUGCUCUCCUGAUCACAGGUUUUUGGUGAGAGGACCUAUUGGCCACUAGGGUGUCUGCGGGGGUGUGUGUGUGUGUGUGUGUGUGUGUGUGUGUGUGUGUGAUGUGUGUUUACUUGGAAUGACUUCUUUCAGCAUGAAGCCCACUGUUUUGCUGAACGUAUCUCACUGUUUCCUGAAACUCAGUACAUUCAGCUGGCUUAAGGGUCCUGGGGCCUCGCUGUGUCAUAUUUGCACAAGCCUAGUGUCUGUGCAGACUGUACACUGGAGUUCAGUUGUAAGACCCUUUUGAUCCCUUAUUCUGUUCCUGUAAUAGAAAAGCCAUUUCACUCAAUGGAAUAGAAACCCAGAUCUAAUGGAGAGAUGUUCUAAUCUGCCAUACACUGGGGCAGUGGCCAGUGAUUUGGACUUUGUGGCACAGAUGGAAAUUUCCAGGUUCUCUAGGUGGUAGGCAGAGGCCUCACUUUUUAAGAAACUCCCCCACUCCACCCCUGCCAAUGAGGACAUUGCUUAGAGGUAUUUCUAUCAGUGUUGAGUAGAAGAGAUCAUUUCUUGGUGUUGAAUUUCAGGUAAGGAUGCCAGCUUCUGCAUAUCAGGGUGGUGAUGUUUGGGCUGCGACAGGUCUAGACAGCAGUCUGAAAGGGGGCUCAAGGAAGUAGCUGUGAAAGGCCCCUGGGAUGUUUUCUGCUCCCCUUUCUGCAAAUCCCCUGGAGGGAGAUCCUGUUAGUCACUACGGGAUGUGUGUGUGUGUGUGUGUGUGUGUGUGUGUGUGUGUGUGUGUGUGUUCAUCACUUGUUGCUUGGGGUGGGAAGAGACAACAACAACCUACAGAAUCCAUAGUUCUCAGUUCAUCUCCCAUCCUAGUCCAAUCAUGGCCUAACAUCCUUAGCUACCGAUCGCAGAGGAGACUGCGCAUUUGUGUUCAUGUGGCCUUGGAUGUUGGCAGAUUCAGAUUGGUGCCCCAGGCAUCUGUGCUGUAACUGCAGUUUCAGCGGGCUCAGGACCAGGCUAAAGGGCCUCCAAGCUUCCUCCAGUUUCCUGGUGCAUGCAUGUGCAAUAUGCUCCCCUGGCCUGGGUCUUUCCUGCCGCUUCUUGCCAGUUGGGUCAGAACUAGCUUAUUAACCAGUUUUUCUUCUGAGCUUUAAUCGAACUGGCUCCAACCAGUUGGAGGCUUGAAAAGGGCUACGUGCUAGUUAUAGAUUUUUAAAGAUAUAUUAUUAUUUUAGAGUAGUUUUGAGUGUACAGCAAAAUGGAGUGCAGAGUCCAGAGAUCUCAUAUGCCCUCAAUUCCUGUAUACUCUCGGGUCACUCCACCAACAACCUCCUACACCAGAGCCACUUUGAAACAUUAGAAAAUAUAUUUGAGCAUUCAGAAAUGUAUAAACUAGGCAGCCCCAGACUGCAAGCAGCUCAGAGGUCCCACAGAGAGGCUUAGGGAGGGUGGGGGAAGAAUUUUAUAUGGUGAAUGUGGAAGAAAAAGAAAAUACUUGAUUGGGUGAAGUGGAGCAGUGGCCUCAUUUGGAACAUUACAGUGGAAGGUCUCUAGUUAGAUGUUAGUUGGUGGUUUCUGAUUGGUUCUUACAUUUCCUUUUAUUAUUUACACUGAGUCAAGUUUUGGUUUAUUUAAGGAGGAAUUGAGUGCACGGCAGCCACCUCAGCCUCAUGGCCACCUGUUUAUUUGAUUAUUUUUAACAGAGAAGAUCCUUUUAAAAAUAUCUGUUACCGUGGCUGGAGUGCAGUGACGUGAUCACGGCUCACUGCAGCCACAACCUUCCAGCUCAGGUGAUCCUCCCACCUCAGUGCUCCCCACCCUGAGUAGCUGGGACUACAGGCAUGUGCCACCACACCACCAUGCUAGGCUAAUGGUUUGUAUUUGUUUGAGAGAUGCAGUUUCCCUAAGUUGCUUAGGCUUCUUUUGAACUCUUAGACUCAAAUAAUCUGCCUGCAUUGGUCUCCCCAAGUGCUGGAAUUACAGGCCAUCUAAAUCUUUUAUCUCAGGUUUGCCUUGUGACAAAAGGUGGGGUACUUUUUCUGACAUGAUGAGGCAGAGAAAGGUGAGGUGGGUGCAUCCUGUGCAUAUGAUUUUCUCAGGUGAUGGGAAUAUGGUGGGCUCUUGCCUAAUGGGAUAUAUUUUCUCUUUGAAUGAUUUGGCAAGAUAUCAGAUGAGAGAAGUUGAAUAAAUGUUAGAAGAACAUAGAAAAAAUAGGUUAUACACAUUGGGUUUCUGAAGAAAUGAUGUCAUUGGAGAAACAAAACUUUUAUUGAUUUCUGGAAACAUUUAGGGCCAAUUUUUUGUGUAAGUAAUUUGAAUUUAUGAUGAUAUCUCUGACCACUUUUUGAUAUUUUUUCUGGUUCAGGUGAGUGGUGUCAUUGAGCAAACACAAAGUCGGGCUCAUCCAAGGAUGAGAUUUUGCCAGAGAAAGGAUGAGCAGCAAGUCAGGGAGCUUAAGUGGAGACGAGAUUUCACUAUGUAGGCGAAGCUGGUCUCGAACUCCUGACCUCAGAUGAUCCACCCGCCUCAGCCUCCCAAAGUGCUGGGAUUACAGGCGUGAGCCACCGCGCCUGGCCUGUUUAUUCUCUUAAGAGAGAAAAUGAGGGGAUUAAUGGACUGUAGUUCUGGACAAGGUGGAAAACUCUUAAAGUGGAAGUACUGGGGCAAGUGCUCUGACAGGGUAGGAUGGUGCAGUCAGUCCCUUCACCCAGAAAUCAGUAGAAUGUUAGCAGUUCAGACUCAAACCUUGUGAAAAACAGGUGGUGGAAAGGAAAUCCCUCACAGCAACUGGCACCAUAAUCAAGACAAUGUUUACAGGAUAAAUGGAGUUACCUGCUUUCAGCCCCAGGUCGUAGCUAUUGUCUGCCCUGCUGAUAUGUGAUAAUAAUUUGUGAUCCUGUUGUCUUAAAAUGGGGUCACUCAUCUCCAGUAGAAUUAAGUCCACAGUGAAGUUGUCCCCCCAUCCCCAAAGAGAUAAACAUAUAUGAAUGAACUCACGUGAUAACAACUACUGCUGCCUGGGAUCAUGAGAGACCUGAACUGAACUGAUAGGAAGUGAAAGGUGGCUGAGAUAAUGAGAAUAGACCCAUCUGCAGAGGAUCAUAAAACCAGCAAAGACAAGAUCUUGUCUAAGAUGCCUUCACAAGCUUUGUCCAUGAGAACUCUUAAGGAUUUCACCAGACCUGUUGGCUGCUGCUGUGAUCUCUGCCCAAGAGGAGCCUCUGACCAACAUCCAAAGGGCUUCUGGACCCACUGGACUCCUCUGGAGGUACCUUGGUCUCCCGAUCCAUGGCUGUGGUUUUUUACUCCCUUUAUCACUGCCUGUGUGUAGAAUGAUAAUUGCACAAUUGAUAGUGUGAAGACCUCUUGAUAAAUGGUAAAUCUGA
rnacentral:lncRNA from 1 species